rnacentral:rRNA from 1 species
AUGGCCCGAGGAUAUAGCUUGGUGAUGGUAGACAUUAUGUACACCUAUGGCAUACUAAUUGACUCCUCUUGCUGUUCACACCGCCCAAACCUAGGGUCUGCCUGCUCUGGGUGCCUCCUCAUGACAUACAUCACAUUGAGUAUCAUCGCCUUCGGUAACCUAAUCAAGUGCCUUUGUGACAUGAAGCGGACGAAUGAGGCUCUGGAUGUGCUGCUCCACAUGAUGCUCGAGUUGCCUGAUUACAUGUCUGGUGUUCACACAAACUUUUACUUUUCCAUUUUUUCAAAGGAAAUAUAUAAUUUUUUUAUAACACACAAGUAUUUUUUUAAAGAUAUUAAUAUUUUUUCAAAACGACGUGAAUGCUUUUUAAAAAUUACCCGAACACUAAAAAAACACAAUAUUAUUUUAAUUACAUAA